AUACGUAGGUGACAAGCGUUAUCCGGAUUUACUGGGCGUAAAGGGCGUGUAGGCGGUCUUGCAAGUCAGAAGUGAAAUUCCUGAGCUCAACUCGGGCGCUGCUUCUGAAACUGCGGGACUUGAGUGCUGGAGGGGAUAGCGGAAUUCCUAGUGGAGCGGUAAAAUGCGCAGAUAUUAGGAAGAACACCGGUGGCGAAGGCGGCUAUCUGGACAGUAACUGACGCUGAGGCGCGAAAGCGUGGGGAGCAAACAGGAUUAGAUGCCCUGGUAGGCCACGCCGUAAACGAUGAAUACUAGGUGUAGGGGGUAUCGACUCCCUCUGUGCCGCAGUUAACACAAUAAGUAUUCCGCCUGGGGAGUACGGCCGCAAGGUUGAAACUCAAAGGAAUUGACGGGG
rnacentral:rRNA from 1 species